CUCUCUCCUCACAGCGGUCACUUGCUGAGCAGCUUCUAGCUACCUUCCACGCUACUCAAGCUGCUGCGCGUUCCGCCGGCGAUGCCCAGCUCCCGCCGAACCACCGCCCGCGGCGGCGGGGCCGCGCCUCCGCCUGCACGCGGAGACGCAGAGGACGACGCGCGGGUGCCGCCCUUCACGGGGAACAACACCGACCACAACCCCCGGGAGCUGCGUUCCUGGGCCCGCCGCACCGGCUUCCACCCCUCCGCCUUCUUCUCCGGCGAGUCCGCGGUCUCCAACUCCUCCACCGCCACCGCGCGUCCCCCGCCGCCUCCGCCUCCCCCGGCAUCCUCCCGCCGCCCGCCCCGCCCUCCCGCGGCUGCGGAGGACGACCCCGAUCCCGCGCCGCCGCUCGACCUCGACCGUCGCGGCCACCAAGUCCGACCUCGCCGCCGCAUCGACCUCCGCGGCGAGCUCGAGAUCCCGCCCGCCGCCGGCCCCGUCGAGGUGCCAGCGCAGGCAGAACCGGCGAGGAGGAGGGACGGCGUCGAGCGCCUGCUCGGCGAGAGGGCGGCGCUCAAUGUGGGCAGGAGCGCCAACGGCGUGCGCGCCGACGUGGAUGCGGAUACGAGUGCGAGGAAGAAGGCGGAGGAGGCGGAGGCGAAGCGAAAGGCUGAGGAGGCAGAGGCGAGGAAGAAAAAGGAGGAUGAGGAGAGGGACGCGGAGCUGGCCGCGUACUACCAGCAGCAGUGGGCCAACGAGGAGGACGGUGUUGCCAACGGUGUCCACGGCGAGGAGACGGCGCCUCUUAAUCGGCCAUCAGGGCUCCGCUGCGGCGUCUCCGAGAACCCCGGGUGGGCACUCCUCGUAUUUUAUGGCAUACAACACUACUUGUCAAUAGCCGGUUCGCUUGUUUUUAUUCCUUUGAUAUUGGUACCAACCAUGGGUGGAUCGGAUGUGGACACAGCAACAGUCAUUUCCACCAUGUUAUUAGUGUCUGGUCUUACAACAAUACUUCAUACUUUUCUUGGUUCUCGGCUUCCAUUGAUUCAAGGAAGUUCUUUUGUAUAUUUGGCUCCUGCAUUGGUGAUCGUGAACUCUGAGGAGUUCAGAAACCUUAGUGAAGAUAAAUUCAAGCACAUAAUGAGGGAGUUACAGGGGGCUAUACUUGUUGGUUCAGUUUUCCAAAUAAUUUUGGGGUACAGUGGUCUCAUGUCACUGCUGUUGAGAUUGAUAAACCCAGUCGUCGUGGCACCAACUAUUGCUGCAGUGGGUUUGGCGUUUUUCAGUUAUGGUUUCCCUCAUGCUGGUAGUUGUGUAGAAAUAAGCAUGCCCCUCAUUGUAUUGCUUCUUCUGUGCACCCUGUACAUGAGAAAAAUAUCCCUGUUUGGAAACCAUAUCUUCCUCAUCUAUGCAGUACCACUCAGUGUUGGCAUUAUAUGGGUGUAUGCAUUCUUCCUAACUGCUGGUGGUGCAUACAACUUCAAGGGCUGCAGUUCAAGUAUACCCAGUUCGAAUAUAUUAUUGGAUUCAUGCAGAAGACAUGCAGAGAUUAUGAGGCGUUGUCGAACUGAUGUUUCUAAUGCUUGGAGAAGUGCUGCCUGGGUGAGGGUUCCGUAUCCAUUGCAGUGGGGCCCUCCUACAUUUCAUUUCAAAACAGCUAUCAUUAUGGUGAUAAUUUCAGUGGUUGCAUCAGUUGAUUCACUUUCCUCAUAUCAUGCUGCUUCGUUGCUAGUCAAUUUAAGCCCUCCAACACGUGGAGUUGUUAGCAGAGGGAUUGGCCUUGAGGGGAUUUGUACUUUUAUCGCCGGACUAUGGGGUACAGGAACUGGGUCGACAACAUUAACAGAGAACAUCCAUACCCUUGACACAACCAAAAUGGCCAGCAGAAGAGCUUUGCAGCUUGGGGGAGCCUUGCUGGUCAUUUUUUCUCUCUUUGGAAAAAUCGGAGCUCUCCUUGCUUCUAUCCCUGUUGCUUUGGCCGCCUCUGUUCUUUGCUUCACCUGGGCUCUUAUUGUCGCACUUGGCUUAUCCACAUUGAGAUAUACCGAAGCUGUAAGCUCAAGGAACAUGAUAAUCGUUGGUUUUACCCUGUUCAUCUCCCUGUCCAUCCCCGCAUACUUUCAGCAAUAUGAACCCAGCUCCAAUCUCAUUCUACCGGGCUAUCUUGUUCCGUACGCUGCAGCUUCGAGCGGACCAGUUCGCACUGCCAGUGAUGGGCUAAAUUAUGCAGUGAAUGCUCUUCUAUCCAUCAAUGUUGUGGUGGCUCUAGUUGUUGCAAUAAUCCUUGACAACACGGUGCCGGGAAGCAAGCAAGAACGAGGGGUAUACAUCUGGUCAGAUCCUAAGUCCCUGGAGUUGGAUCCUGCAUCUCUGGAACCUUAUCGGUUACCAAAGAAGAUAUCAUGCUGGUUCAGAUGGGCCAAGUGCGUUGGCUUUUAACAUAGCAUGGCUCCACUCCCCUGCACUGGUAGUGCCUGCUGGGAGGUAGGGAUGCAAAGAUGCUAUUCAGGAGGAAAUUCCCAGUGAACGCUCUCGUAACCACAAGACCCAGAUUGCACGGAUGGCAGUUUCUCAAGAAAUUUGCCUCAAAACAAAUGAACUGCCAUGCACAACAAUAAAAAAGUCGUCUUGAUCAUUCGCAAAACGUUCCUUGGGGAUUCAGGCCCAAAUUUAAAUUAGUUAUGGAUUGAAGGGAGUAGGAAACUGUAAAGCACGACUAAAAUUUAGCAGGUCGAUAUUUUCCUGGAAGUUGCAGAGUCGAUAUGAAUGCUUGUUCACAGGGAACAGAAAACACAUCUCUGCAGUUUACAGUAAGCUUGUAUAGCUAGGGUACAACAAUGCUUCGAUGAUAGUUCUCAUCACGUUUGAGAA